rnacentral:rRNA from 1 species
AACGAACGCUGGCGGCAUGCCUAACACAUGCAAGUCGAACGAGACCUUCGGGUCUAGUUGCUCACGGGUGCGUCACGCGUGGGAACCUGCCCUUAGGUUCAGAAUACCUCCCCGACGUGGGUGCUAAUACCGGAUAAUGUCUUCUAACCACAGAUUUAUCGCCUUUGUAUGGGCCCGCGUUGGAUUAGCUUGUUGGUAGUGUAAAAGCCUACCACGGCUACGAUCCAUAGCUGGUCUGAGAGGAUGAUCAGCCACACUGGGACUAAGACACGGCCCAGAAUAUUACGGGAAGCAGGAGUGGGGAAUAUUGGAAAAUGGGCGAAAGGAUGAUCAAGCAAGGCCGGGUGAGUGAUGAAGGUGGUAGGGUAGUAAAGCUGGUUUACCCGGGAUGAUAAUGACAGUACCGGGAGAAUAAGCACCGGCUAACUCCGUG